rnacentral:rRNA from 1 species
AUUGAACGCUGGCGGCAGGCCUAACACAUGCAAGUCGAGCGGAGCGGCGGACGGGUGAGUCAUGCCUAGGAAUCUGCCUGGUCGUGGGGGAUAACGUCCGGAAACGGGCGCUAAUACCGCAUACUAUCAGAUUAGCCUAGGUCGGAUUAGCUAGUUGGUGGGGUAAAGGCCUACCCAGGCGACGAUCCGUAACUGGUCUGAGCGGAAGAUCAGGCACACGGGGACUGAGAAAGGGGCCCAGAUCCGACGGGAGGGAACCUGGGGGAAUAUGUGACAAAGGGCGAAAGGCUGGUGCAACCAUGCCCGGGGUGUGAAGAAAGGUUUCGGGUGGUAAAGGAAUUUAAGUUGGGAGGCGUUACCAACAGAAUAAGCACCGGCUAACUCCGUGCCAGCAGCCGCGGUAAUUC